GACUGCAGCUGCGGAUGACGACAUCGGGAGGCCUCGGUCGUGAGCGGCGGUCGGCAUCGGCACUGCUGGGUUUGGAGCACGCUGGUGGGCUUUGACGUCAAGAUUUGAACUAUCAGAUGCAACUGCUGAUACACCGAUGUCCUGAAUAUUUUGUUGUGAGGCUGAGCAACACUUCGCACGGCUGCAGCACCGAGAGCUCAUGGGAGGCCAAAACAAACAGGUUCAUGGCAAGCUUGUAACAUCGGCCAAGAGAAGCACAUUCAACCUCACUGGAGAGAGAGACGGUGCUACUAUCAGAAUUAGGAGAACAAGAGCUAAAUCUUGAAGGUGGUCCGCAACCAGGGAAAGGCUCGGGCUGCUUCUUUCUUUGCCCUGUCACUUUUGAUUACCACCCCAUCUCUACCAUUUUGAAUGAGUAAGUGACAUUUCUAAAUAUGUUGAGCUGUACUGAUCAUGGUGUGAAAACAAACAAACAAAAUCCUAUUGUGGAGAUCAUCUUACCUUUGCAAUUGUUCAAUCUUUGCCAAAGGAAAAUCUCCGGUUGGAAAUUAUAUUCAGUUUCUUGAUUCUUAUGCUAAUUCUCUGUCCAUUUUGUUGGAUGUCUAGUGAUGUUCAAGAUAUUAAGGGCAUUGUGCCUGGAUGCCAAGUGAAAAUUAGAACCGCGUUACGUCCUUGUGGUAGUGGUAAAAACCCUGCUGAUACAUGUUUAUAUAUCUGAAUGUAUGCUAUUCUUCCAGCUGAUAGUAGGCAUUCUAUUAAUGUAAUUACUAUGAUAUAAGCAAAUUACUUUUACGAGGUUCUUGUGUCAUUGGGGCUUCACAUGUCCACUAGGGAUUUCUGUACCUGCUUAAUCAAGCUAAAAGAAGAUAAAUUACAUUAGCACCCCAAACAAUGGAUAAGAACUGAUCACAGAAGUAACUGACCGAUCAUAUAAACAAGGGUAGAUUGGCUACAGAAAACAACAAAAUAUUUUUUGCCUGCACCUCUUUACGGCAGUAGGGCACUACAAGGAACUUUGCUGUCAAAUAUUUAAACAGUUAAAGUUACGGUACAGCUCUGUAUACUGCUCUAUAGCAGUCAAAUAAAUCUCUCAGUUUCUGAACUUAAUUUAAAGAUGUUCAAAUGCUUGUUUGCACGCUCUCUAAAAAACCCGCCUUCAAUUGAAGCCCUUGAUAAAUUUAUGCCUGUUAUCUAGACAGAAUAGUUGGCCCAUCGGACUAAUUUUUUUCAGAAGGUGCUGGCAGGUUGAUACUCAACUGCAACGGGUAAGAAUCUGUUGUGUUAGUACUAAUGCCAAGUAGUGUUUAAAAAUCUCGAUGGACAUUUCUUUUGUCGCCUAUAAUGUUGCUUGCUGCUUCUUUCUUUACCACCCAAUUUCUACCAAUUUGGAUGAGUAAGUGAUGAUUUUCUCUCCAUUGUGUACCAUGUUGCUUCGUAUUUGUUAAAUUUUAUUGUUGCUGUAAAAAAUUAAUCUUGAGGUAAGUACUUCUGUUUUUUCUGCAAUUGUAUCCCCAAUGUAAUGUCAUGGCCUUCAAGAUUACCGAUCGAUGGUAUCUAACCUGACUUUUUACGAUAAUCCUUCAACAUGAGAUUUUAUUU